CACAACGACAUGGGGUGCGCGGAGUCCGCGCUGAGAUCACACCCACGGAACCUGCUCUAGUUCGAACUAGCGAAGGGAUUGUCAUGACUUUUCUGC
rfam:Corynebacterium pollutisoli strain VDS genome assembly, contig: Ga0138996_106